rnacentral:rRNA from 1 species
GAUGAACGCUAGCGGCAGGCCUAAUACAUGCAAGUCGGACGGGAUUCAGGAGCUUGCUUCUGAUGAGAGUGGCGCACGGGUGCGUAACACGUAUGUAACCUACCUUUAUCAGGGGGAUAGCCUCUCGAAAGAGAGAUUAAGCCCGCAUAAAAUCACAGCACAGCAUUGUGUAAUGAUCAAAUAUUUAUAGGAUAAAGAUGGGCAUGCGGAACAUUAGCUAGAUGGCGCGGUAACGGCCCACCAUGGCGACGAUGUUUAGGGGAUCUGAGAGGAUGGCCCCCCACACUGGUACCGAGACACGGACCAGACUCCUACGGGAGGCAGCAGUAAGGAAUAUUGGUCAAUGGGCGGAAGCCUGAACCAGCCAUGCCGCGUGCAGGAAGACGGCCCUACGGGUUGUAAACUGCUUUUAUACGGGAAUAAACCCAGAUACGUGUAUCUGGCUGAAUGUACUGUAAGAAUAAGGAUCGGCUAACUCCGUG